AUGCAACAAAGAGGGGACCUGGCCUUCUUCAUGUCUCAUGCAAAAAGGGUGAUUAACACUGACUACGACAGCCUGGUGGGCGUCGUGCUCUUCAACCACUUAGAGGUGGACUUCGACGUGAAGCCCAGUGACCGCGCCGCAUGGAUGAUCGUCCAUGUGAUCACGAUGCUGGAUGUCGCCGAGGUGGAGGACAUCGACGCCAUCUUUCGGGGUGAGGGAGGAUUCGGGUCCUCCGGAGUCUGA
rnacentral:rRNA from 1 species